rnacentral:lncRNA from 10 species
AUUAAUUCCUAGAAGUUAAAGUAUUUUUGUGGGCAUAGUUUUAAGGCUUUCAUAUGUAUUCUUGUAUGACCCUCCAAAAACUCUGGAGAAUGCAUUUUCUACCGUAGUAAUACCCCUAACCUGAGAAGCAUAAGCUAUGUCUGCCAAAACAUUGUUAAAUUGGUUUUUAUCUCUCUGAUUAUUGGCAAAGUUGAUCCUUCCUUCCUUCCUUCCUUCCUUCCUCCCUUCCUUCCUUCCUUCCUUCCUUCCUUCUUUCCUUCCUUCCUUCUUCUUCGUCUUUUUGCAGAUUCUCCAUUCAACAUCUGUGCCAAUUAUUUUAUCGGGGUGUUCAUCUUGUUUUUAAAAUCAAGUUCUUCUUAACAUAGCAAUAAUUUAAAUACCUGUCAAUAUGUUGCAAAUACAUUUAUCCAAGUAGUUGCUAUUAUAUAUAUAUAUAUUUUUUCAGUUGAGACAGGAUCUCACUAUGUUGCCUUGCAUGGACUGGAACUCCUUGGCUCAAGAAAUCUUCUUGCCUCAGCCUCCCAAAUAGCUAGGACUAUAUGCACAUGCUACUACACCUAGUGGAAAAUGAAGCACAGAGAAGUUCAGUGAUGGACCUCAGAUACUACCAGCAGAAAGCAGAAGAGCUAGGAUUUCAACUUAGGAUGUCUGGAUCCACAGUCUGCACUCCUACCCACUAUGCUACACUGCCUCUAACUAUGAGGAAGCAAGGGCAUUUUUUUUUUUCUGGUGACUAAAAAGAUAAGAGUUCAAGUAUGUGGCUCCUGAUAAUCUAACUUAUACAGCCUGGAAAAAUUGAUAGUUACUAUAUCCAGACUGUCUCAUUCAAUUAACAGUUUCUCAAGUAAUCUUCUAGUUACUGUCGUAUUUUAUCUGUAUCAACUUAGCAAACCAAGUCCAAAACAUUUUAUAUGUGUCUAUCUUUCCUGCUGUUCAUAUUAUUGAGUUAGCCAAAUAAAUUCAAUUUUUUUUCUACUGUUUGUUUCUCACAAAUUAUGACUGGCAUCUGUAUAUCUGGGAAGGUUCUACUGCAUUGCUGUAUUAUCACUAUAUAAUUAUAAGAGAUCACAGAGUGCAUUGAUGAAGGCCAUGUUGAGACAUGAUGAAACAGGGUCCAUUGUGACUGGGUGAAACUGUCUUCAAUUUCCUGGUCUAUAAAGCAGAGAAUCUGUAGCUCACAGAAUGGCUGGUAGCACCCACCAGGAUCUGGGACAUUCAGCCUGAGAAAUAAAAAACUCAUCAGGAUCUGUGAAAGACAUGAAGACAGAAAUAGUACUAGAAGAAAGAAAAUGCUUAGAAGUCAUAUGCAGCAAUAAAGAACUUGGCUUGAGAGGUCAUUCCAAGAUGGUCGAAUAGGAACAGCUCCCAUCUGCAGCUCCCAGCGUGAUCGAUGCAGAAAACGGGAGGUCUGACUUCAGUGAAGAUCCAAAGGCAGAGGCCCCACAGGAGUCCUUCUGCUCCCUGGAGACA